rnacentral:rRNA from 1 species
AGUGAACGCUGGCGGUAGGCCUAACACAUGCAAGUCGAACGGCAGCACGGUAAGAGCUUGCUCUUACGGGUGGCGAGUGGCGGACGGGUGAGGAAUACAUCGGAAUCUACUUUUUCGUGGGGGAUAACGUAGGGAAACUUACGCUAAUACCGCAUACGACCUACGGGUGAAAGCAGGGGAUCUUCGGACCUUGCGCGAUUGAAUGAGCCGAUGUCGGAUUAGCUAGUUGGCGGGGUAAGGGCCCACCAAGGCGACGAUCCGUAGCUGGUCUGAGAGGAUGAUCAGCCACACUGGAACUGAGACACGGUCCAGACUCCUACGGGAGGCAGCAGUGGGGAAUAUUGGACAAUGGGCGCAAGCCUGAUCCAGCCAUACCGCGUGGGUGAAGAAGGCCUUCGGGUUGUAAAGCCCUUUUGUUGGGAAAGAAAAGCAGCAGGUUAAUACCCCGCUGUUCUGACGGUACCCAAAGAAUAAGCACCGGCUAACUUCGUG